rnacentral:piRNA from 1 species
UGUGUGGACAGGCAUCCUCAAGAUGAAAGGU